rnacentral:rRNA from 1 species
GACAGAGGAUGCAAGCGUUAUCCGGAAUGAUUGGGCGUAAAGCGUCUGUAGGUGGCUUUUUAAGUCCGCCGUCAAAUCCCAGGGCUCAACCCUGGACAGGCGGUGGAAACUACCAAGCUGGAGUACGGUAGGGGCAGAGGGAAUUUCCGGUGGAGCGGUGAAAUGCGUAGAUAUCGUCUGGAACGCCAAAGGUGAAAACAGCUCGCUGGGGUUGUGCUGACGCUGAGACACGAAAGCCAGGGGAGCGAACGGG